GAUGAACGCUAGCGGCAGGCCUAACACAUGCAAGUCGAGGGGUAACAGGGUUGCUUGCAACCGCUGACGACCGGCGCACGGGUGAGUAACGCGUAUACAACCUGCCUAUCACACAGGAAUAGCCCUUGGAAACGAGGAUUAAUGCCUGAUGGUUUUGUAGAACCGCAUGGUUUAACAAAUAAAGAUUUAUCGGUGGUAGAUGGGUAUGCGUAAUAUUAGCUAGUUGGUAAGGUAACGGCUUACCAAGGCGACGAUAUUUAGGGGGUCUUAAAGGAUGAUCCUCCACACUGGUACUGAGACACGGACCAGACUCCUACGGGAGCAGCAGUGGGGAAUUUCCAAUGGGCAAAGCCUGAGAGCAA
rnacentral:rRNA from 1 species